rnacentral:rRNA from 1 species
CUACGGGAUGCACCAGUGGGGAAUAUUGGACAAUGGGCGAAAGCCUGAUCCAGCAAUGCCGCGUGAGUGAUGAAGGCCUUAGGGUUGUAAAGCUCUUUUACCCGGGAUGAUAAUGACAGUACCGGGAGAAUAAGCUCCGGCUAACUCCGUGCCAGCAGCCGCGGUAAUACGGAGGGAGCUAGCGUUAUUCGGAAUUACUGGGCGUAAAGCGCACGUAGGCGGCUUUGUAAGUAAGAGGUGAAAGCCCAGAGCUCAACUCUGGAAUUGCCUUUUAGACUGCAUCGCUUGAAUCAUGGAGAGGUCAGUGGAAUUCCGAGUGUAGAGGUGAAAUUCGUAGAUAUUCGGAAGAACACCAGUGGCGAAGGCGGCUGACUGGACAUGUAUUGACGCUGAGGUGCGAAAGCGUGGGGAGCAAACAGGAUUAGAUACCCCAGUAGUC